rnacentral:rRNA from 1 species
AAGAUACGCGCAGAACCUUACCAACACUUGACAUGUUCGUCGCGACUCUAAGAGAUUAGAGUUUUCGGUUCGGCCGGACGAAACACAGGUGCUGCAUGGCUGUCGUCAGCUCGUGUCGUGAGAUGUUGGGUUAAGUCCCGCAACGAGCGCAACCCUCACUUUUAGUUGCCAUCAUUAAGUUGGGCACUCUGAAAGAACUGCCAGUGAUAAGCUGGAGGAAGGUGGGGAUGACGUCAAGUCCUCAUGGCCCUUACGUGUUGGGCUACACACGUGCUACAAUGGUAUCUACAACAGGAAGCAAGACUGCGAAGUUAAGCAAAUCCCUAAAAGAUACCUCAGUUCGGAUUGCACUCUGCAACUCGAGUGCAUGAAGCUGGAAUUACUAGUAAUCGUGGAUCAGCGUGCCACGGUGAAUGCGUUCCCGGGUCUUGUACACACCGCCCGUCACACCAUGGGAGUUGGUUCUACCUUAAGGCAAGGUUUCAAACCCUUGACCACGGUAUAGUCAGCGACUGGGGUGAAGUCGUAACAAGGUAGCCGUAGGGGAACCUGCGGCUGGAUUACCUCCUUUCUA